AGAGUUGAUCAUGGCUCAGGACGAACGCUGGCGGCGUGCCUAACACAUGCAAGUCGAGCGAGGAGAUCCUCGGGAUGAUCCUAGCGGCGGACGGGUGAGUAACACGUGGGCAACCUGCCUCAUAGAGAGGAAUAGCCUUCCGAAAGGGAGAUUAAUACCUCAUAACAUUGCAGUUUCGCAUGGAACAGCAAUUAAAGGAGUAAUCCGCUAUGAGAUGGGCCCGCGGCGCAUUAGCUAGUUGGUGAGGUAAUGGCUCACCAAGGCGACGAUGCGUAGCCGACCUGAGAGGGUGAUCGGCCACAUUGGGACUGAGACACGGCCCAGACUCCUACGGGAGGCAGCAGUGGGGAAUAUUGCACAAUGGGGGAAACCCUGAUGCAAGCAACGCCGCGUGAGUGAUGACGGCCUUCGGGUUGUAAAGCUCUGUCUUCAGGGACGAUAAUGACGGUACCUGAGGAGGAAGCCACGGCUAACUACGUGCCAGCAGCGGC
rnacentral:rRNA from 1 species